GGUUGAACUCAGGACCUUGCACUGGAGAGGCCCUUCCACAGCCCCGCCCUUUUCCAUUCUCUGUGUGGAGGAGCAGAGGACACACGGCACCGCCCUCAAGGGAGGCCCCUGUGUCUCAGCAGUGACCCUCCAGGAAGAGAGCCAAUCUCUUGCAACUUCUGGCCUAAGUGACUGCUGCUAGGAAUGUCCAAAGGUGGAGGACACCCAGAUCUGCUCAGACUGUCCCCACGAGCACAAGAGGCAGAGGAUCAGGUCAGGGAGAGUUUAUUGAUCCUGAGAGGUGCUGACAGGCUGAGGCCCAGGGCGCUGACGGAGCAGAGGACCCUGGAGGAGAGCUGUCCGGGUGGCUCGAAUGCUGUCCUUCCUCAUUCCGUUUCCUUCUCUGUUGGUCCGAAGUCAGCAGCCUCCUCCGCGCCUGCUGCCUCUCUCUCUCACCGAUUUGUGUGCCUAUUCUUUGCCAACGCUAAGUUGCCUCCUUCCUGUGGAUUCCUAGGAGACCUUGAAGUCAGGACGUGGAGACCUCAGCUCUGACUCUUCGACAAGUCGUGUCUGGUUCGUCUUCCUGGGAAGGACAUUUGGAGCCAGCGCGUUGAUGCCGAAGGACUCUGCGGGGCUGUACCUGGGGCGCCCGGGAGCUCAGCGUGGCUGGCCGGACGCGAGGCCCGAGUGCAACCCACAGGGCGGUGCGGCUGCGCUGGCUGUGGUCCCGUUUGGUUUCUCCCAUCGUGUUUGCCUGAGCUACGCGUUCCGCUCCAUAUGUGGUUAAGCUGACGCUUUUAUUCUAGUGUAGAUCGUCCUUUACCCAGCACAGU
rnacentral:lncRNA from 1 species